rnacentral:rRNA from 2 species
UGCUAAUACCGCAUAACAACUUGGACCGCAUGGUCCGAGUUUGAAAGAUGGCUUCGGCUAUCACUUUUGGAUGGUCCCGCGGCGUAUUAGCUAGAUGGUGGGGUAACGGCUCACCAUGGCAAUGAUACGUAGCCGACCUGAGAGGGUAAUCGGCCACAUUGGGACUGAGACACGGCCCAAACUCCUACGGGAGGCAGCAGUAGGGAAUCUUCCACAAUGGACGAAAGUCUGAUGGAGCAACGCCGCGUGAGUGAAGAAGGGUUUCGGCUCGUAAAACUCUGUUGUUAAAGAAGAACAUAUCUGAGAGUAACUGUUCAGGUAUUGACGGUAUUUAACCAGAAAGCCACGGCUAACUACGUGCCAGCAGCCGCGGUAAUACGUAGGUGGCAAGCGUUGUCCGGAUUUAUUGGGCGUAAAGCGAGCGCAGNCGGUUUUUUAAGUCUGAUGUGAAAGCCUUCGGCUCAACCGAAGAAGUGCAUCGGAAACUGGGAAACUUGAGUGCAGAAGAGGA